GAGAAGCCUUGCGUGCACUGUUAGCAAACUCACACAAGUGAAGAGGGACCUUUCUUUGCUACACAGCGUCCUCCGUGGCGAGCUGGAGGGAAGCGCUCUCAGCAGAGAGGGUCGCCCUCACCAAGAAGCCAAAGGGAAGAGGACAGAAUCUUUCUUGUAGGGACGCCCUUGGUCUUCAGAAGGAACACUUUUUCUGUUUCACAGAGAUCUGUGGAAUGUGUGGGUUCCCUGAAGAGGUGGACGGACCCCCGGGGUCGCGCGUUUUCUCAGCCCUGGGCCCGUAGCGGAGCUCGAUCCUUCCAGAGCUCAGGGCCAGAAAUGUUGCGAUUCCGAACACUUUCCCUUUCUUCUGAGAGGAGCCGCCCGGCAGACGCUCAUCAUUAAGAAGCAAGAUAUGUCCACCGCAUUACAAAUGGGAUUCUCUGGCAUCUGACCAACCCUCACAAUGGCUACUGGCCAUCUCAUGCCCAACAGGACAAUGCUUAUUUCCACCAGGAGAUGGCGCAUGCCCUUUUUUUUUUUUUUUUUUAAAUCCCCAGGAAGGUCUCAGUGCUGCAAAAGCUCCAUGACCAUUCUGCUUCUAAACUGAUGAAGCAAACAUAUAUUUCCAGUGGUAAUGCUAGGAAAUACUUUGCUAAGGAUGUUACUUUGGUCCUUCAGCCAGUGGUCAGAGAACAGAAUGACCAUACUGCAACCACCCAUGGUGAACUGACUGGCACACCCACAAAAAUCUUAUCUUUGGGGUCCCCAUAGUACCCAGUGGAUUGCCUUGCACAUUGUAGGUGCUCAGUAUGUGUUUGCUAAAGACAUGGCCCUGGAUAAAUCACUUCACCUCAAUUAGUCUGUUUUCCAAAUCUGAAAAUAAAAGCGGUGAAAUGGACAAGGUGACAGUUAAGGCCUUGAAUCAGAAGAGCCUCUGACAACGUGACAAAUAGCUUAUGCUUGCUGAAUGGCUGACUUCUCUGAAAGGGAAAACAGCAGAAUCUGAGAGGGGAGACUGGAGCGGAGUUCUUCCUCCCCUGUGCUAACAGGUAUGUGAUUCCUAUUAUUGUCUUUGGUGGGAAGGGAAGCAUGAGGCAGGCCCCUGGUCUACAGUAGAAGUGAAGCCUGAGGAUAGGCUAAGAAUUAGGGAAAUUAACAGGCUCCUAGGAGUCAGAAUGCUCAGCUUCUAUUCCUAGCACUGCUUAAAAUUUUCAGGGGAAAGUACUUUUAAUCCUUGCAGCAUUUGGUGCCUUUAUUAGAAAAUCCUUUUAUGUGAGAUUUUGAGUUUCUUAUUUUCUCUCCUCACCAGGAUAACGCACAGAAAGAGCUGAGGUGGGAGUCCGAGAGACAGGGGUCUGACAUGUAUAAUAUACUCUGCUGCACAGGAUUAUCAUGAGGGUUAAAUGAAAUAAUAAAUGUAGAUUACACUUAGCUCAGGACCUGCCACACACUUAGCUGAGGGCCAGGAAUUCAAUAACCAAUGACUAUCAAUGUCAAUCAUUCUAGCUAUUUUGUAGAUGCAAAGUCCAACAGAAACAGAAAGGGUGCAAAGCUAAAACUUUUAAAAUACUCAGACCCAGACUCUAAUCCAUUAAAAAAAAAAAAAGCAAAAAACAAAAAAGAUAAUCCCUAAUUUUUCCUAACCUUGCAUUUUUCCAUUGAGAGGUGGCGACUUCCUAAAAUGGAGGUAGACAGAUAGAUAGAGAAUCUGUAUAACAAUAUAGGUAAUCUAGAUACCUAUAUCUUUGUAAGGAAACCAGGUAAGGGACACUUGAGAAACUCAACUCAUGAAAACAAAUGCUACUUUUCUGUAAUCACAAGGAAAACUGAACUGGGAGAGCGGGUGAGAGUGUGGGGGGUUGGGGAGCCCCACUAAAGCUUCUAGGGAGGAAGGGACAGUUCGAGGCCAGGACUUGCUGGUUGCACGUACCUGGCGCUUGU